rnacentral:lncRNA from 1 species
AUGGACUAUUACAAAUUUCACUAGAACAAAUUACAUGCCAAAAAAGUAAUCUUAGAAGUUCUAUUUCAUCCAAAUUCAUAGAAUCAAAUUACAUGCCAAAUUAAAGUAAUCUUAGAAGUUUGAUUUCAUCCAAACUCAUAUUAUUAGUUUGCUAUAGAUGUAACUAAACGCAGCUCAAGUGGAGGGUGUACACAUUUUCUGGAUAUAUAACUUCUAAUAAUCGCCACCGGAAAUAGAUAAGCUGCAAGAAUGCACUUCAUCAGCUUAGCAUUUAGCAACACACAUAUAUAUGCAAUUUUCUUAUUAAAUCGAAGGACUAUAUAUAGAGGGUGUUUGGAGAAGCUGAGCUUAUAAGUUUCAAUAACGCAUAAUAUGUUUCAAGAGUUUAUAAGUUGUCAAAGUGUUUAAAUAAUUGAGCUUAUGAAUUAGACAAAAAAGCGUACCCCAGCUUGAGAGCAGUAUCAUCGGAGACGCUCAUGUCCUCGGAAAAGCCAUAGGAAUUGGAGAUGGACUCAACUGAACUUCCUUGCUGAAUACAAAAUUAUUAAUUCAACUACUACAUACCUCCAUGAAACUCACAGACGAGAUCCUCUAUUUCAAAAUCGUGUUUCAUGAAAUCCCUUGUUCCAACUGUUCAAUUGCCAUGAGAUUCUUAAACAUACAAUUUGAACAGUUGGAAUAAGAGAUGAAACACGAUUUUGCAAUAGAGGAUCUCGUCUGAGAAAAUUGAGACAACUUGCAACCAAGCGUGCGCGUUGUAUAUGUAUUACCUCAUCAACUUGCUGUUUCAGCAUCGCGUUUUCUUCCAACAGUUCGAUUUCCUGCAUUCUUGAAAAAUGUUGUUAGGAAAUUAAAUAAAAGCCUUAGAAUUCCUUUUUUUUUUAAAAUAUAUUUAUCAACUAAUAUAAGACAUAUAUAGGUUUUGGACGUGCCCUCGUCUUGAGCUUGCUGAUCUCGUUCAUAAGCAUGUUUUUCUGCAAUCCAUAUGGCAACACUUAGCUUGUCAAAUCAACAAAUAAAAACAACAACAAGAAAUAUUAAGAGGACGUAAGUUUAUUUUUCAUGAUUGAUAAGAUACACAUAUAUGAUUGAGUAUUUGUAUCCACAUUACUAUGAUCAUUUCUCCAAUUAAUCCUAUCAUUUCAUUGGAUUUAAGAUCUUACUAGCAAUGCACGACAAAUAUAAUAAAUACCAACUCAAUUAUCAUAUUUAUAAAAAUAAUAAAUAAAAUAAUUUUAACUGAAUAUAUUUGAGCUGAAUAUUAAAAAAUUAAAGAUGAAAGAGGAGAGAGAGGAGACAAGUUUCUCAAAUUUUAAUCUUUAAAUAAAUAUAAUUUUUACAUUUUAAAUCCAAUAUUUACAUAACAUGUGUCAAAUUAAAGCUCUUAUCAUGAUCUUUAACUUGAUAUGCAUAUAAAAAUAUUUUAUAAUUAAUCGAAUUUUAUAAUUUUAGAAAAGAAAUAAUAGAAAAAUAAGAAGUUAAAGAAAAAUAAAAUAUAUAUACUAUAAAUAACCUUCAAUUUCAUUAUAACUACAAAAUUGCCACUCAAUUUUGAAAUUAAUUUUAAAUUGAGAGUUGUCUUUCUAAUAUAUUAUAGAUUAUAGAGUAUAGACUAUAUAUAGAUUAAUUAUAGAUUUGUGACAUUAUAUAUUACGUAUAAACGAAGGAAAUGUGGAAAUUCUAAAGGCUCUAAUAUUAGUGUGUAUAUUUUCCUUUAUUAUAUACAUCACACUAUAACGGAUCUGAAUUGUUCGGUAAAAUAUUAAUCAAACAAAAUUAGCUCAUCAAAUCAUAUAACUUAUCAAAGACCUUAAUUAGGUUAUUUCAAAAAUUUCCAAUCCAUUUCAAUAAACAAUGAAUUAAUUAACUUAAUACUAUUUCUUUAUAUAGAUCGAUAUUAAUCCUCAAAAGUAAACGCCCCUCAUUAACAAGAAAUUUAACCUUUUUUUUCCCAACGCGGCCCAUUGCCGACUCCACCACCCUCUCCAGCCUUUGCAGUUCAUUCACGUCGAGCCCUUGGAGCUCUUGUCCAUGAAGUUGCCUAUGUAUAUAUAUACAAAAGGGUGCUGGUUUUGCUUUUCUUUUUUCAAUUAAUGUGCAAUAUUGAUAAAUAAAACUAUAAUAGUACUUAAUCAUUGGUAUAUACUUUAAUAUAUACCUGAGCUCAAGGGUGAGUUCAUUGAUGAUCGCAUCAUAGUUGUCGCCUCCCGCCUGAAAAUGUGAGUAAAUAAUACACAUAAAAACUUAUAAUAAUAUACGAAACAAUUAAUAACAUAGUUUAAUAGGAAGGAGAGCUAUUUAAUUAUUUAAAUAGUAUCAUAUAAUUAUAAAUUAAGCUCAAUGUUAUUACAAACUUUGAUUACCUGCAGAUUGUUGAGGCGCUUGCUAUAGCUAUCCUCUGAUUGCAGGUUAAGCCUUUGGAUGAUUUGCGUAAUGCUUCAAAAUAGAGACAGCCAAAUCAUGAAAUACUCUUGCAUAUUGGAGUAUUAUAUUUCGAUCUAAUUAACUUCAUAUAAUUAAUUUAAUAAAAAUGAAUUUUGAUGUUUUUAUAAUUUUAUAAAGUUAGUGAUCUAAAAUAACAAUUUACGAAGUAUUAGAAUCUAAAAUAAAAGCAUAUUUUAAAAUAUAAAAUAUGAACUAUUUUCAGCCCUUAGAUCAUCAAGAUCUACAAUUGAUUCAUCACUUUGUUUGAUGAAUUCAUGGUCCAGAGUUCGAAUCUCAUACGUAAUAAAAAAUGUAUAAAACAAAUUCAUACAUGUUCACAUAUAUAUUCCUAUUUUAUACAUUUACACACAUUUCCAAUAUCUGCAUCUCAUCAUUUCCCUCAACCCUAAAUUAACUUCUAUACUUUAAAUUGAUUGACUAUGCAUGCUUCUUAUCUACUUUAUAUUAAAUGAAUAUGACAAGGAACCGGUAAAGGAUAUUUGUUAAUAAAGUAGAAAUGCACUUUGUGAUGUCCAUAUAUAUACAUAUCAAACAUUAUAUAGAAUGCGGCUACAAUAUACCAUGCAUGUCCUUUGUAUUUUACUAUUAAUUCACAAAUACAAAAAUAGUUACUCCUUAUGCAGGGCCGGCUCUGAGGGCGGGCGAGUCUAGGCGACGGCCCCAAAAUUUUUAAUAUAUCCCAUUAGUUAUAGGCCUUAUGUAUACUAAAAAAAUACUUUCAAACCCGUGCCACCCUCUCUUAAGUCAUAUUUUCGUGGAUGGAGGGAGUAUAUCCUUUGUGUUUGUAAGAACGUGUAUGUGUGUGCGUGUGUGUGUGUGCGAGAGAGAGAGAGAGAACCUAGAGCUGGAGUAGUCGAAGAGCUUUCCGGUGGCCGAGAAAACAAUGAGAGCAAUCUCAGCAUCGCAGAGAGUGGCGAGCUCUUGAGCUUUCUUGAAAAGCCCUCUUCUCCUCUUCGAGAAAGUCACCUGCCUCGUUGGCAAGUUAUCGAUCUUCUUUAUCUGAAUCUUCUGCCUCACCAUCUUCCUAAAGAGAGAGAGAGAGAGAGAGGGGUCUUUGAGAAAGAGGGCUAGAAAUAGGUAAAAACACAGAAACUUAAACCCUUCUUACCCUAAAAUUACUAAACUUUUACAAAUUCAGAUAUAUUUAUUCAUAUGUAGAAAUAGGUGAGACAAGAAUAAUUCAAUAUUUUGAGAAUCAGUUUGCCUUGCAAAGAGGAAGCCAAACUGCCAAAGCCACCAACCCUAGAGAGCGAGAGAGAGAGAAGUAAAAGCAAAUCUGAUUAUCAUCAGCCCAUAUGGAUAUGAUAUGUGAUAGUGGAAAAUUAAAUGUGAGCGUGACUUAACGUAGAGUUUUGGUGACUCCACUUAUGCAUCUUUAUGGGAAGGACAUAAAUGCAAAUAGCAGAAGUUAGAAGGGGUGGAGAGUUAAGUUUACUACAGCUAACUCAGUUAUGCAUUCGUGUGAAUUUUCAUGCAUGAUGAUGCGUAAAAUUAAGAGUGAUAGUUUAUUGAUUGUGUAAAUUGUGAGUAAGAACUAGAAAAGAGGGAGGGUGAUGAACACAGCUAGAGUAUUGCUCCAUCUUGAGUCUAUACUUCUAUAUAUUCUUGAUCGAUAGUAAUUGAAUUCUUCUCUCCGCUCGUGGGUGUAGGAUCUUUGGAUUUGAACCACGUAAACACUUGUGUUACUAGCUGCCUCUCACGGUCGACCCUUCGGGGCAAGGGCCUAGCUAGGUACUUGGAUCUGAACCACGUAAACACUUUGCAUGUAGAAUAUUGAAUUCUUCUCUCCGCUCGUGGGCGUAGGACUCUUUGGAUCUGAACCACGUAAAAACUUGUGUUACUAGCUGCCUCUCACGGUCGACCGUCGACCCUUGGGGGCAAGGGCCUAGCUAGGUACUUGGAUCUGAACCACGUAAACACUUUGCAUGUAGAAUAUUGUUGAUUAUAUUGGUUAUAGUUGCUUCAGCCUAAAGAAGUUUUUUAUUCAAAACUAAAAUUGAAAAAAUCAUAUACUCCCUCCGUCCGCCAAGAUUAUGUAAAAAUUACUAUAUUUGGCGUCCGUCAAGAUUAUGAAUUCUUCUCUCCGCUCGUGGGUGUAGGAUCUUUGGAUCUGAACCACGUAAAAACUUGUGUUACUAGUUGCCUCUCACGGUCGACCGUCGUAGGGCAAGGGCCUAGCUAGGUACUUGGAUCUGAACUACGUAAACACUUUGCAUGUAGAAUAUUGUUGAUUAUAUUGGUUAUAGUUGCUUCGGCCUAAAGAAGUUUUUUAUUCAAAACUAAAAUUGAAAAAAUCAUAUCUGUGUUAUAAUAUGUCUCAAGAAAAGGUUAAUUAAAUGAGUUAGCGAUUUUAUGCAUUGAACAUGAGGUAUUGAAAAAGCUUGAUCUUGAAGAGGUUAUUGAUAAUUUAAUUCACUUCUCAAAAUGUUAGAAGAUCUAAUUUAUUUCUAUAACUAUUUGAUUAUUAUUUUAUGAUAUAUUACACUUUAUAGUAAUGUUACAAUUGUGUAGCUAUUUCGAGCAGUUUGCUACAAAAUUGUUGAAACUUCAUUUUUUAGGGCCCUUUUUUCCCUUUUCACCUAGGAAUGUCAGGGGCGGCCUUGGUUACUGUUUUCGAUUUUAGUUUAAUUUCCGUUUUGAUUGCAUUGCUCGUAUAAUCUUGAGCUAUAUAUACUUGAGAUCGCAAUUGGAUCUUGAAUCUACACUUAUAAAUUCAAGAUCCAAUUUUUGUUUUUCUUCGAAAUGUGGGAAAUGAAUGUUUAUUUAUCUCAUUGAUCAUGAUUAAAAACUUUAAUUUUAAGAAAUUACAAAUUGUUGGAGCCUAAAAACUUUUUAAACUAAAUAUAGUGAAACAUCCUCUAACUCAUGCAUAAUAUAUGUAUUAAUCUAAUGAUAAAAUAGUUAAUGUUUGAGGUCAAAAGCUAAGUUUGAAGUGAGCUACAAUCAAAUUUUUCUAACAAAAGAUGUUAAAAUAAAAAAAUAUAAAGUAAAAAAAAUUAUUGGUUAGAGAGUACUUAAUUCAGAUUUUAAAUUUGAGUACAUCGUGUUGUCACGAUUAAGUUUAAUACCUCAAUUCAAGGAGCUGUCCAAAAUAAAUUAUGUCUGCCAAAUGUUAGACCCUACAUGAAAGGGAGCUAUCUAUUACAUAUUCUUACACCUAAAAAUUGAUACUUGUGAAUUUAGCCACCAAACUUACAUUACUCUUUCCAUCCACCAAAAAGUUUAUAUUUAGUGAAUUUAGGAGCUAAUUAUUUAAACAAAACCACAAUUUUCAGUGUUUUCAGAAAAAUGAUUAUAUGUUACGAAAUUUGAAAAUGAACCGGGAAUUAUAGAUCAUUUUUUUAAUAUUUACACUCCUAUUAAUUACUACAUCAAAAUAGAGACUAUAACUUUCAUCAUUUUCAAAUUCUGUAACAUACAGUAGUUCUUUUUUUGAAAACACUGAAAAUUACACUAGCUCGUGAAUUUAGCCAUAAAAUAUACAUUGCUCAUUCCUUCCACAAAUUUGUACCACAACUAUUUUAUUCAAUAUUUUUGAAAUGUAUAUUACUCCCUCCGUCCCAACUUUUAGCAUCCACACAUUUUUUUGUCAUCCCAUAUUUUGGUAUCCAUUUCAUUUUUAGUAAAAGUAGGUGGGACCCUUGCUCCAAUUUAAUUAUUUUAACACUCAUAUAAAAAGUGGGACCCUGCCUUAUUCUACUCACAACACACCAAUCAUUUUAAUAAAACUCGUGUCACUCUCAAAUAAAUACUAAAAUAUGGGACGGAGGGAGAGUACUUUUUUUAGGAUAACAUAGACCUUAUACUUUAUUCUUCUAAUUCAACCUAUAAAUUUAUUUUAUUUAUUAAAAAUUAUCUUAUAAUUCACACCUAAUCCUUAUUAUUCAACUCUAAUGCGCAUUUAUCAAAUAUUUUGCUAAAAUUAAUAAUUAAUUUAAUACUAUUAUACAGAAAUUUUCGGAAGAAUAUUUAGUAAAAGGGAAAAAGCUGUUUAUAAAUGACGCCGUAUAGGUUAAAAGAAAACAACGUCGUUCCUCUAGCCGGUCGGUCUUAUCACUCUAGAUAUUCCGGUGUCCAUGUCCAAUUUCUCGAGUCUGAAACAUUAAGAAAAAAUUUACAGGUUGUGGAUUGCUACGUAAAAUUAAAAGAUCGUGGAAAAGUCACAAAAAAAAUGAAACUUCGUGAUUUACAAGCAAUUAGCCUAUAAAAAUAAAAGUUCAUUAAUGUUAUUUUAUAAUGAAAUUGUGAAAUGUUGUGAAUAAAAUUUAUUUUAAAUAUGGUAUUUAUUUUAGAAAGGAGGAAUAUAGUGAGUAAAAACUUGUAAUGCAUAUGAUGUGGUGCUCCACUCUUAUCACAAAACACUCUUUGAUUCAUGAGAAAUUAAAUUCUUCUUUUCUAUUUUGCCUUUCUUUUUCUUUACUUAUAUGAUAAUGCUUUGUGGUUCAUCAUUAUUUUUUCAUGAUUUCUUUUCUCGCGGCUUUCAAAAUUAAGGAAUUUUUAUCAUGCUAGGGUUCUUAUUAUUUUUCCUUGACUUUUCAAAAUGAAGAGAAUUUAUGCGUAUUGAUUUUUCUAUGCAGCUAUGUAAUAAUCUAGCAUAGAAUGGUCCCGCAUUAAAUUUACACAUCAAUCUUCCCCAACUCGAUUUUAAUUAGCAAUGAAUUCCAUGCAUGAGAAAUUAGAUAAUGACUAUUUGACUUAAAUACAAUUGGCUCACGGUUAUUAUGGAUAUAUAAUUAGGAUGUAUAAUACUCUCCCUUGUUCAUUUUAUAUGUAGGUGUGCAUAUUUAUUAAGGUUGCGUUUACUUUAAUGGAUAAAUUUAUCCAUGGAAAAUGAUGGAUAACAAAAAUUUAUGUCUUAAAAUGUUUCAUUUCUUUUUCAACAUUUGUCAGAUGUUUACCAUUUUUCCUUCCUUAUUUUUACUUCAAGGAUGGAUAAUAUUAUCCACUCAAAAAUGGAUGGCUAAUAUUAUCCAUCCUUGAAGUGAAAAUAAGGAAGGAAAAAUGACGAACAUUUCUUUUGUGUGUCAAAUGUUGGAAAAGAAAGAAGACAUUUCAAAGUAUAAAAUUUUGUUAUACUUCAUUUUCCAUGGAUAAAUUUAUCCAUCAAAGUAAACGCAAACUAAGAAGAAAAUAUUGUAUCUAAAUGAACCUCAUUUAAUGACACUCUAUUCCUAUUGACUUCCACUAUUUUGGUAUAAGAAAUUAAAAAGAAUGGAAAAUGAGAAUAUGCAUUGAUGAAAUAAAUAAGAGUAGAUUUGGCAAGAAAAUUCAAAACGUCAAUUAAAUUGUCAAAAAUUAAAAAUCACCAAACAACAUAUUAAAAAAAAUCAGAGAGAGUAUAUAUAAGAGCACCCACAUCAAUUGAUUCCAUAGCUUAACUCGAGUUAGCUGAUGCCAUGAGUCAAUUGAUGCAGGCCUUGCUGAGUCGAGGCUUGACUCGUUCUAUUGAGUCAAGCUCAUGCGCCAUAAUCCAAAGCGUGUUCUACACGCUAUAAUUUUUUUUAAAUAGAUUUUGUAAAUUAAUAUGCAACUGUUAUUUGUAACUGCACUUGGCCGAUUUUUAUUUUUAUCCUUUUUUAUUUAUAUGUUUAUUUUAAUUUAUGUUUAUUUUUUUAUUUUAUGUAUUUUAAAUGUUAGUAAUUUAAAUUAAUGUAAUUUUAAGUUGGAGCUAUAUAAAUGAGUUAUUUAGAAGUAUUUUUAAUAUCAGAUUUAGAAUGUGAGUUAAAGAUUUAUUGAUACGUCAUCAUGUUCUUUCAAAUUAUUUUUUAUAAAUUUAUUGAUUUAUUACAAUUUUUAAAGUAUAAUAGCUAUAAAAGGUUAUAAUAGUUAGUACAAUUAUAAUUAUUUUUAUUAUUUUUUAAAAUAAAAAGGUUAUAAUAAGAAAAUUGAGUUGCAUUUAAAAUUAUACAUAUAUAAAAGGGCCUUAGUGGGUUGCUAAGUGUUAGGCCCAACAAGAGAAAUAAAGAGAUCCACUAAAGGGUGAUUUCAUGUAUAAAGCCCAUUGUUACCUUAAAAGAAUUUGUAAAACUAAUAAAUGUUUAAUUAGUAGUAUUAUUUAUGAUUCAACUUUUAACUCCAUAGUUACUUCAUUGCUUAAAAAAAAACAAAUAUAGUCCAACUUUUACCUUGUUACUUAUGGCUUAUUAGUCUAAUGGAGAAUUAAAUUAAAACGUCGACAUUUUGUCUAAUUAAGAAAAGGAUUAUUUAUUUAAUUAUGGCUUGAUCGAGCUGUAAUAUAUUAUUUCUCAUAAUGUAAAUAUUUCAAUCAAUUUAGUAUAUAUGAAAAACUUCAAUUGACGAUUGUUACUAAAUUCUUUUACCAAUGGUUACUCUUCUAGAAAAUAAAUGCUUUAUAUAAAUUGGUAUGCUGAAUAUAUCAAUUUAGUAUCCAUCAUGACUAGCUGAAGUGACGUAGGCAUCUAACUAUGUUAUUUAGUAGAUUGAUCGUUUAAUCAAUGUAAACAUUUCAUGUGUCCACCUCAACAUUAAUAUGGAAGCAAUUAGUUGACAAUCGUAUGAAAAAUCAGAACUAUUGAAAGUUCGUUUAUCCGCAUAAUUUUUAUCCAUACACGGAACCAAAAUUAGGUGAAAGUUUAUGUAUUUAAGUGCAAUUACCCUAUCUAACUAUUACAAAUUUCAUUACAUACCAAAACUAAUCUUAGAAGUAAUUAGAUUUCAUCCAAAUUCACAAAUAGCUCUAGUUUGCUAUAGAUUUCAUCCAAAUACAUAUUUUCUGGAUAUAUAUAACUUCUAACAAUCGCAGUCGCAAAUAGUUAAGCUGCAAGAAUGCAUGCAUAAGCACAUCAUGAGCUUAGCAUUUAGCAAAAGGUAAGCUGCAAGAAUGCACGUCAUCAGCUUAGCAUGCAUUUAGCAACACACACAUAUACUAAUAUUCAUGCAAU